rnacentral:rRNA from 1 species
GUAUGUGUGAUCCAGCGUGUCCUAUGUUCCACACCACAACUCGAUGACACACAACGGAAGAAAAUAUUUGAGAGCAAAUGCAUGGUGAAUGGCAAGGUAUGCAAACUAGUGAUUGAUAGUUGCAGCUGCGAGAAUCUUAUCUCCCAGAAGUUGGUGGACCAUUUAAAGCUUGAAACCCAUGAUCAUCCAAAUCCCUACGCUAUUAGAUGGAUCAAGAAAGGAUUGAAUAUGAGGAUCACCAAACAAUGCAACCUGCCACUUUCUUUGGGUAAGCAUUAUCGCUCAAAUGUGUUGUGUGAUGUGGUUGACAUGGAUGCCAGCCAUGUUCUUCUUGGGAGGCCUUGGCAAUUUGAUGUGGAUACUACACACAAGGGCAAGGAAAAUUCUUACUCUUUCAUUUGGAACAAGAGAAGGAUCAUUAUCUUACCAAACAAACCCGAAGGUAAUACCUCUAAGGAGGAGGGGAAAACUAUGUUAACUAUCUCCCAUACCUCUCAUGAGUUUAUGGAAGACUUGAAGGAGGCAGAUUUGUGUGCUGCACUUGUUGUAAAGGGAGAAGAGUACCUGACUGUUGAAAUUCCAGCAAAGGUACGUGGUUUAUUGGUAGAAUUUCAGAACAUACUUGGGGAGCCACAUGGCUUGCCACCGAUGAGAGGAAUUCAACAUAGAAUUGACUUAAUUCCGGGAGCAAGUCUUCCUAAUAUUCCACACUAUCGAAUGAGCCCAAAGGAGCAUGGUAUAUUGAAGGAGAAAAUGGAGGAAUUGUUGCAAAAGGGGCACAUUCGAGAAAGUAUUAGCCCAUGUGCUAUACCAGCCCUACUCGCGCCAAAGAAAGAUGGAUCUUGGCGCAUGUGUACGGACAAUAGAGCCGUUAACAAGAUCACCGUAAGGUAUAGAUUCCCUAUUCCCCGUCUGGAUGAUAUGUUGGAUCAGCUUAGUGGAGCA